UACGUAGGUGGCGAGCGUUGUCCGGAAUUACUGGGUGUAAAGGGAGCGUAGGCGGUUUGACAAGUUGAGUGUGAAAUCUACCGGCUUAACUGGUAGGCUGCGCUCAAAACUGUCAGACUUGAGUGAAGUAGAGGUAGGCGGAAUUCCCGGUGUAGCGGUGGAAUGCGUAGAUAUCGGGAGGAACACCAGUGGCGAAGGCGGCCUACUGGGCUUUUACUGACGCUGAUGCUCGAAAGUAUGGGGAGCAAAC
rnacentral:rRNA from 1 species